GACGAACGCUGGCGGCGUGCUUAACACAUGCAAGUCGAGCGGUAAGGCCCUUUCGGGGGUACUCGAGCGGCGAACGGGUGAGUAGCACGUGAGUAAUCUGCCCCUGGCUUUGGGAUAGCCACCGGAAACGGUGAUUAAUACCGGAUACGACCACUUCUCGCAUGGGAUGGUGGUGGAAAGUUUUUCGGCCAGGGAUGUGCUCGCGGCCUAUCAGCUUGAUGGUGAGGUAAUGGCUCACCAUGGCUUCGACGGGUAGCCGGCCUGAGAGGGUGACCGGUCACACUGGGACUGAGACACGGCCCAGACUCCUGCGGGAGGCAGCAGUGGGGAAUAUUGGACAAUGGGCGGAAGCCUGAUCCAGCAACGCCGCGUGAGGGAUGACGGCCUUCGGGUUGUAAACCUCUUUCAGCAGGGACGAAGCGCAAGUGACGGUACCUGCAGAAGAAGCACCGGCCAACUACGUGCCAGCCGCCGCAGUAA
rnacentral:rRNA from 1 species